rnacentral:lncRNA from 1 species
CAGGGAUGAUGUCUUCUCCUCGUUCCUGAAUUCUUUGAUCAAUGAAGACAUGUUCAAUAGCCAAAACCAACAAAUUACCAAUGGCAUGUUCCCAGAUUUUGAUCCUUUGGUUAAUCCUACACAGGAUAAUCAACAAGAGAGUGGAUGAAUGAAGAUGUUUAUGUGCCUUCUCUAAUUACCUUCCCAUGGUUGUAUAAGAAAUAGAAGAAGAAUUUGGAUUCUUAUUGAUUAAUUGUAAGCAAACCAUUCUUUCUCUUGAUGAUGUUCUAGCUUGUCUCUUUAUUGUUUAUAUAUGUAAUUUAUAAGUAUGAAUCUUAACUGUUAUCUUGUAAUAGAAUAUGUAUGUGAGGUUUGCACAUAUCGUAAUGCCAUAAGUAUAUGUUUGAGUUUAUUUCUUCAGUACGUAGUUGUUGGUUACUAUAUUAAUGGAUUAUAUUGUGACUCUAAUUUAAUCCCAAAAGCUAGCUGGAAAUGUAAGAAUUACCCAAAAUCAUAUAAUAAACCCAAUAUAUUUUAUUACACAAGAUGUGGUAAACAAAAUACCCCCUUCUCACUCCCAAGACUAGACAUUUGGUACGUGAACACUGUAACAAGGGGCUCAACAUUGAGUAAACUAAGAAUUAUAAUAAAUUUGGCUCUGAUACCAUAUUAAGAAAAUAAAUUUUGGGUCUAACACACCCUAUAAUGAUAUGCACUUGCAUCAAAAUUCUAUUGAGUUGGCCGGGCAUGUUGCUUAUACUUUGUGAGGAUGUUCGAUUUUAGGUCUCUCUCCUCUAUGUAAUUAUAUUUAAAAUUUUAAUAUAUAAGGUAGGGGUCAAUGUCAAUCUCCUUGCUACGACAAGGCGGCUUUAACUAGUUAAAGCAAUCCUAACACAUCAGGAUGAAUAUAAAGUUCACAUUAAUUCAAAUCAAGCAUAGACUCUUAACAUUUUACAUGAAUAACAAAUCUAACAUUCUUUUUAUUUAUCAUCUCCUUUUAAACUUCCAAAGCUCUAGAUACAAAAUUAAACUGCAACAACAUAUAUCCAUGCCAUCACAACUUUUACUUUCUUUUACAAGACUAAUUUUUUAUUUUUAUUUUCUUAACUUUCUUUUACCGGACUACAAUAGUAUUGGAAUAUAUCUUCUUCCUGUCUUCAAUUGUCAAGGUUUUGUCUACAUCUUCCUUUAUAUUUGACAACAACAUGAAGUACCAUCCUUAGACCAAAUAUUCAGAACUUCAACUAAAAGCAGCUACCAGUCUGUUUAUUUAAAUAUACUGCACAUGCGAUUGGUAGGUAACUCUAGAUAUACAUGCAUAUUUUACUUUCAUUUUACUUCUCGAAUAAUAUAGUUUUAAGGUCCAAUAAAAUGAGACUGAAAAUUACCUUAAAGAUGCAAAUAUUACUUGUCAUAAUAAAGAUUCAUUCAUGCAAAUCAACCCUUAAGUUGGUGCGAAAAGUAUGUAUAAUGACCAACGUUCUAAAAGUUGGUCUAUAGCUAACCGUUCAAAAAUAUAAAAUUAAACUAAAGUUGGAAAUAUUUUUUAAGUUCCUCUUUUUUCAAUUUCUCAUUAACCAAAUAACAUCUUCUUCUGCAUGUAAGCAUAUGUUAUGUUUUUUCUUUUAAUCAUAAUGGGAAUGCUUUUACUUAUAGUAUAGUUUAAUAUUUGAGCACCUAAUGGUCUGACGAAAAUAUAAUCAUGUAUAGAAUGGACUCAUUUUCUUGACCGAGGAAAUAUAUGCAUGAUAUGGUCGUAUAACUAGUCAAAACUACACGUCGAAAUUUAGGUAGCUAACAUGCAUUCGACUAAUUGAUUAAAUAUAUCAACUUUACUGAACAGAAAAUUAUUCUAAAAAGGAAGAACGUAGAAAUUAACCAGCCAAUGCAGUGAAAAUUGUUGCAGUAUAUAGUACGUAAUUGAAACGAGCUUCCACGAAUAAAUGGUAGCUUGAAGAAAGAAAAAUAAAAUAUAUAUUCAACAUGAACAUAAAUUAUUAGAACUAUAUGAAUAUAAGAAUAUGUAUUAGAGAGUGCCAAAAAUAUAUUUUAAAAAAAAGACAUGCAAAAUUUGUUUCUGUUUAGUACCAUUUUACAAGCACUAGGACUAAAAAUAGAAUAUAUGGAGAUGACUUUGCAUAUAAUAUAUCCUUUGUUAUAAUACGAGAAAAAAAGAAUAAAUGAAAAUCUACAAAUUAAAAUCGUUGACUCACCCGGAAAACUCGUAGCCAUUGCCAUGUUGGAGCUAGAAAAAGUUCCUUUUAAAAGAUUUUCCUUACUGUUUUUUCCGAGAGUAUACAACUUGUGAAAAAAGAUUAGUUAGAAGUUAAUAGUGUAAAAU